AUUAUUUUAUCUGUUUUCAGAUACAUGAAUAUAUUGUUGAGGAUAAAAGCUAUUUUUCAUUCUUCAAUAAUAUACAUAUAUGUAUAGUACAUAUACAUAAGUAUUUUGUGUACUGAUAUAUUUGGAGCUUUGGAAAAUUUCUGACCAUAAAAGGCAGAGAAAAAUUUUGCACGUACAAAACGUUGAAUAUCAUUAGAGUAAGAGUAUUUUAUAAUUUUAAAUAAUUAAAGCUCACGGGACUUGGGUCUGGGUAAUAAAUUACGGCUGACCCUAGACCCUAGACCCUUCACUCCUAAUGAUGGAGGGUGCUAUCCUGCCGCUUGCUACUGUAUUUUCCUUUACUGUCUAAACUGCAUAUGGAACCCUGCAGUGAAUUCACACGGAGAUAGCAAGCGAUCACUGGGAAGAAUACAACAGGAAAGUGAUACGAACAAGGAAAGUCAUUAAGGUUUUUUUUUAUUUAUAUUCGGUGUUUUGAGCAACUUUUUUCCUCUGAGGCUUAUAGGAAAAAAGUUGCUUAAAAUGGCGAAUUUUGUUGAUGAUGAUUUAAGGCUUAGAAGAAAAAAGUUGCUUCAUAAUUCAUUGUUUUUGACACCACGUCUGCCACCUGGGUGACCGGAACCUGAUUUUUUUUUAUGCUUGCUAAGUACUUUCAUUGAUACUUUUAUUAUGUACUUUGAUUUGUGAAGGGCUAUGGACAGCUUUUGCUUUUGUAACCCAGCCACUUGCUUCAACUGCUUUCAGGUAGAGAACUUUUAUUACUUCUAUACCUGCGAGUUCGGGUAUCAUGUUUUCAGAGGCAGUACAGGAAACAAAAUGACAAAGAAAAUUGUUAAACAAGCAUCGGUGGUUCAGUGGUAGAAUGCUCGCCUGCCACGCGGGCGGCCCGGGUUCGAUUCCCGGCCGAUGCAAAAUUAUCUUUUGCGUCUCUUUUUGGCAACUUCCAUAAUCACUGUAUUAAUCAAUAUUCAAAGUGUAUAUAUAUUUUAUUAGAGCCUACCACGCAAAACUAAGUAAUCUGAGUAAUUUGCGUAUCCACAGCAAACAAAUUAUGUCGAUAUUAUUAUUAUGAAUUGAUAAAUUACUGCAGUCUAAAGGUAUUUAA